GGUCCUGUGGUGUAGCGGUAGCACACGCACGAUUAGGCGGAUCUUAAGCGUGGUAAGGCAAGGCAGUAAGUAAGACUGAAAGGCAGGGUCCUGGUUCGAUUCCGGGCUGUGGCCA